rnacentral:rRNA from 1 species
AGUGAACGCUGGCGGUAGGCCUAACACAUGCAAGUCGAACGGCAGCACAGAGGAGCUUGCUCCUUGGGUGGCGAGUGGCGGACGGGUGAGGAAUACAUCGGAAUCUACUCUGUCGUGGGGGAUAACGUAGGGAAACUUACGCUAAUACCGCAUACGACCUACGGGUGAAAGCAGGGGACCUUCGGGCCUUGCGCGAUUGAAUGAGCCGAUGUCGGAUUAGGCUAGUUGGCGGGGUAAAGGCCCACCAAGGCGACGAUCCGUAGCUGGUCUGAGAGGAUGAUCAGCCACACUGGAACUGAGACACGGUCCAGACUCCUACGGGAGGCAGCAGUGGGGAAUAUUGGACAAUGGGCGCAAGCCUGAUCCAGCCAUACCGCAUGGGUGAAGAAGGCCUUCGGGUUGUAAAGCCCUUUUGUUGGGAAAGAAAUCCAGCUGGCUAAUACCCGGUUGGGGUGACGGUACCCAAAGAAUAAGCACCGGCUAACUUCGUGCCAGCCGCCGCGGUAA